ACGGCGAGUGAAGCGGCAAAAGCUCAAAUUUGAAAUCUGGUACCUUCGGUGCCCGAGUUGUAAUUUGUAGAGGGCGACUUUGGGGCGGCUCCUUGUCUAUGUUCCUUGGAACAGGACGUCAUAGAGGGUGAGAAUCCCGUGUGGCGAGGAGUGCGGUUCCGUGUAAAGCGCUCUCGAAGAGUCGAGUUGUUUGGGAAUGCAGCUCUAAGUGGGUGGUAAAUUCCAUCUAAAGCUAAAUAUUGGCGAGAGACCGAUAGCGAACAAGUACAGUGAUGGAAAGAUGAAAAGAACUUUGAAAAGAGAGUGAAAAAGUACGUGAAAUUGUUGAAAG
rnacentral:rRNA from 1 species